rnacentral:rRNA from 1 species
UACGUAGGGUGCGAGCGUUGUCCGGAAUUAUUGGGCGUAAAGAGCUCGUAGGCGGUGUGUCGCGUCGGCCGUGAAAACCUGCAGCUUAACUGUGGGCUUGCGGUCGAUACGGGCAUCACUGGAGUUCGGCAGGGGAGACUGGAAUUCCUGGUGUAGCGGUGAAAUGCGCAGAUAUCAGGAGGAACACCGGUGGCGAAGGCGGGUCUCUGGGC